rnacentral:rRNA from 1 species
GGGGGAAUCUUGCACAAUGGGGGAAACCCUGAUGCAGCGACGCCGCGUGAACGAUGAAGCCCUUCGGGGUGUAAAGUUCUUUCGGCAGGGACGAUUAUGACUGUACCUGCAGAAGCAGCUGCGGCUAACUACGUGCCAGCAGCCGCGGUAAUACGUAGGCAGCAAGCGUUGUUCGGAAUUACUGGGCGUAAAGAGUGCGUAGGUGGUUGGCUAAGUUUGGUGUGAAAUCUCCCGGCUUAACUGGGAGGGU